rnacentral:rRNA from 1 species
UACGUAGGGUGCAAGCGUUAAUCGGAAUUACUGGGCGUAAAGCGUGCGCAGGCGGUUUUGUAAGUCUGUCGUGAAAGCCCCGGGCUCAACCUGGGAAUUGCGAUGGAGACUGCAAGGCUUGAAUCUGGCAGAGGGGGGUAGAAUUCCACGUGUAGCAGUGAAAUGCGUAGAGAUGUGGAGGAACACCGAUGGCGAAGGCAGCCCCCUGGGUCAAGAUUGACGC